AUGAGCGUCGACUGAGUGACUCAAGCGUAUAACUGAUUACUGUAGCCGCUCUCGAAUUACUGACAGGAUCACUUAAGUUAAGUGCUUGUUUUGGAGUGUGUGAAUCAGAUAUGGAAGUGCAUGCAGGUAUCGGGUAAGUCCGUGUUGAAGAAGCACAUCCGGUUACACAGCCGCAUCCGUUUAGAUUGGAAGUCGACCACAACAUAGCUGGGAAAAGGCUCGGGAAAUGAUAAUGAUGGUCAAAACUACAAAUGCCGUAUACCAUGUCAUCCAUAUUCCAACCCAAGCUGUUUAUGUUCGCCGGGAUGUAGUUGAUGCUGCUGUGUAGAGGCUCAUUCGUGAUGCUGAGACCCCACACCGGUAUACCUGCCUCCGCAUACUUUUCCAAGAACCUGCAAAAAUAAUACAACUAGUUGAAAAAGUAACAAAUGUUUGCCAAUUUAGCAGCAAUAUUUCAUUUUCUCUUAGUUGCGGCUAUCCAUUUUUACUGAUUUGCUUUAAUACAAGCUCAAAGGUUGGCUCUAAGAGCUCACAACACUGAGUUAAGCUCGCCGUUGUACGUAAUCUCUCCGUUUUCAGUUGUCAAAAUGUAUUUAUGCGUGCAAUAAAUCUAUCUUGGAUCCUA